rnacentral:rRNA from 1 species
UACGUAGGGUGCAGGCGUUAAUCGGAAUUACUGGGGGUAAAGCGUGCGCAGGCGGUUUGCUAAGACAGAUGUGAAAUCCCCGGGCUUAACCUGGGAACUGCGUUUGUAACUGGCAAGCUAGAGUGUGGCAGAGGGGGGUGGAAUUCCAAGUGUAGCAGUGAAAUGCGUAGAUAUUUGGAGGAACACCAAUGGCGAAGGCAGCCCCCUGGGUUAACACUGACGCUCAUGCACGAAAGCGUGGGGAGCAAACAGG